rnacentral:rRNA from 1 species
GUGAGGAAUUUUCCGCAAUGGGCGAAAGCCUGACGGAGCAAUGCCGCGUGAAGGAUGAAGGCCUAUGGGUUGUAAACUUCUUUUCUCAGAAAAGAAUUAUGACGGUAUCUGAGGAAUAUGCAUCGGCUAACUCUGUGCCAGCAGCCGCGGUAAGACAGAGGAUGCAAGCGUUAUCCGGAAUGAUUGGGCGUAAAGCGUCUGUAGGUUGUUUAAAAAGUAUUCUGUCAAAGAUUAGGGCUUAACCCUAGAUAGGCAGAAUAAACUUUUAAGCUAGAGUUUGGUAGAGGCAGAGGGAAUUCCCGGUGGAGCGGUGAAAUGCGUAGAUAUCGGGAGGAACACCAAAGGCGAAGGCACUCUGCUGGGCCAAUACUAACACUGAGAGACGAAAGCGAGGGGAGCAAAUGGGAUUAGAUACCCGGGUAGUCC